CGCCGCGUGAGUGAUGAAGGUUUUCGGAUCGUAAAGCUCUGUUGUUAGGGAAGAACAAGUACCGUUCGAAUAGGGCGGUACCUUGACGGUACCUAACCAGAAAGCCACGGCUAACUACGUGCCAGCAGCCGCGGUAAUACGUAGGUGGCAAGCGUUGUCCGGAAUUAUUGGGCGUAAAGGGCUCGCAGGCGGUUUCUUAAGUCUGAUGUGAAAGCCCCCGGCUCAACCGGGGAGGGUCAUUGGAAACUGGGGAACUUGAGUGCAGAAGAGGAGAGUGGAAUUCCACGUGUAGCGGUGAAAUGCGUAGAGAUGUGGAGGAACACCAGUGGCGAAGGCGACUCUCUGGUCUGUAACUGACGCUGAGGAGCGAAAGCGUGGGGAGCGAACAGGAUUAGAUACCCUGGUAGUCCACGCCGUAAACGAUGAGUGCUAAGUGUUAGGGGGUUUCCGCCCCUUAGUGCUGCAG
rnacentral:rRNA from 1 species